ensembl:snoRNA Gm55112 predicted gene, 27604
UGGAUCAGUGGUGACAUCUUGUUGGAGGUGAACAGUGGAGCAGGAGAACAGGUCCAGAAGUCUGAGUCCCAU